ensembl:snRNA U6 U6 spliceosomal RNA
GUGCUCACUUUGGCAGCACUUAUACUAAAACUGGAACAAUACAGAAAUUAGCAUGGCCCCCAUGAAAGGAUGAUGCACAAAUUUAUGCAGUGUUCCAUAUUUUU